rnacentral:rRNA from 1 species
GACGAACGCUGGCGGCGUGCCUAAUACAUGCAAGUCGAACGCAGUGGGGACUGGUGAGUAACACGUGGGUAACCUCCCAACAGAGGGGUUAACACUUGGAAACAGGUGCUAAACAGAUACUGGUGGAUGUACCCGCGGUGCAUUAGCUAGUUGGUGAGGUAACGGCUCACCAAGGCAACGAUGCCUAGCCGACCUGAGAGGGUGAUCGGCCACACUGGGACUGAGACACGGCCCAGACGCCGACGGGAGGCAGCAGUAGGGAAUCUUCGGCAAUGGACGAAAGUCUGAUCGAGCAACGCCGCGUGAGUGAAGAAGGUUUUCGGAUCGUAAAACUCUGUUGUUAGAGAAGCGGUAUCUAACCAGAAAGCCACGGCUAACUACGUGCCAGCAGCCGCGGUAAUAC